rnacentral:rRNA from 1 species
UACGUAGGGUGCGAGCGUUAAUCGGAAUUACUGGGCGUAAAGCGUGCGCAGGCGGUUCGUUGUGUCGGCGGUGAAAGCCCCGGGCUCAACCUGGGAAUGGCCGUUGAAACUGGCGAACUGGAGUGUGGCAGAGGGGGUGGAAUUCGCGUGUAGCAGUGAAAUGCGUAGAGAUGCGGAGGAACACCGAUGGCGAAGGCAGCCCCCGGGCUGACACUGAC